rnacentral:rRNA from 1 species
UACGUAGGCAGCGAGCGUUGUUCGGAGUUACUGGGCGUAAAGAGCGUGUAGGCGGCCAAGCAGGUCCGUUGUGAAAACUGGAGGCUUAACCUCCAGACGUCGACGGAAACCGCGCGGCUAGAGUCCGGAAGAGGAGAGUGGAAUUCCUGGUGUAGCGGUGAAAUGCGCAGAUAUCAGGAAGAACACCAAUGGCGAAGGCAGCUCUCUGGGACGGUACUGACGCUGAGACGCGAAAGCGUGGGGAGCGAACAGG